UUUUUUAGAAACUUUUCCUCACUGAAUUUACUAUAGUGAUCAUAUAUUCAUUGCGUAUUACCUUGUAAGCAGGGUGAUUCAUCUUAAGGAGCUGGAGGAUAAUAACUCAAGCUUUCUGUUGUUUGUCUGAACCCCUUUAUAAUUUAGAGUCUGGCAGUGAGCAGAAUGCAAGUCUUGCUCAGAGUUUCAAAAACAGUAGCACACAAUCGGUUGCAAAUGAAGUACAUGAUAAAAGAAUUAAGUAUGUGUCAUGACUUCGGUCUGAUUUGCCAGGUUUGUUGUCUUGUCUCUGUGUCUAUGUGCCCUGUUGUCUCUAAGCAUAUCAGUUCUGUUUUGACAGCCCUCCAUGUGCUCUGCUGUCAGUGUGGCGUUUUCCCCUCCCACUCGUUAUCCUAUUCUUCAAUUGUGUUCUCUGUCACACCUGUUGCCACUUAUCCCUCAUUAGCUUUCCCCUAUUUUAGAUACUCUUGAGCUUAGUCUUUUGUCAGACCGUUGUUGUAUGUUUGAGCUAACGCUUCGCUCGUGACCUUCCCUUUUUUUGCCUAGUCUUUCCUUGUUGUGUCUUUUAGGCUCCAAGUACUAUUUUGUUUUGUUUCUUUUGUUGUUUCAUUAUUUGUUUUGCCAGAUUUUGUUGUCCUACUCCCUGCCCUGACUAUCUUUGUGUCUGUUGAGACUUGGAUGCAUCGCUCAAGCCCCUCUCUGCAUUCUCAACGAUCUCAUCUGGGAACUUAGUGGGACUUCAACGCUGUGUCACGGACAACGCUCUAGUCUGAGUGACUUCCACGCUGCGUCACAAGUGACGCUCCAAGCCGUGUCAACGAGAGUGAUGGAACAGCAAAGUCACAUAAGACACAGCACCUCCUCGUCUUAUCGCAGAGCGACGUGCUUCCCUAAUUAAGGGCAGGCCAGUCUGGUGCUGGUAUUAUGACUACCGUGACGGCGGCUAUUUUUCAAAAACCACUUCUCUGACGCCUAAAAGGCCUCGGGGGAGGCAAAGAACAGCAGCCUCUCCACCGGCAGAUCAUUGAUUAAAAAGGCUUAUGAACUUCCACCUGCGCUGGAGGAAAAGGAGGACAAACAGGACUCUUUGCUCUCUGUGCUCAAAAGCAACCAGGUUUUUGGAAAGAAAUCCUCUGGCAAAAAUCCACUCAAAUGCUAGUUUCUUCCUGAGCUGUCAGUUGAAAACAGUUGUUGGAGAGGUCUGUUGCCAGGUUUGUCAUGUCUGUUGCCAUGCAAUCCAAAGUUUUUCACAGUUUUUAUAUGCUAAACAUUCAAAGCUCUGCAGCAAUUAUUUUUUUAAACAGACAGACAAAAUCUAACCUUGAAAAACCUUUUAUUCUGUUGUUACAUACUUUAAAAUGUAUCAAAAGCAGCAAAAUGUCUGUGUGGUCAGGUUAACGGAUUCAUUCUUUUGUAUACUUACAUGUCUGUUUACAUUCAUUCCAUGCAAGAGGUCUAUAAAGCUGCUUUCAAGAUCA